rnacentral:rRNA from 1 species
CCAAUAGCGUAUAUUAAAGUUGUUGCAGUUAAAAAGCUCGUAGUUGAAUUUCGGGGUUCUUCCGUUGGUCAGGCUAACAAGUCUGUACUAGCGUGUAGAAUCUCUACCUUCUGGGGAACCAUCAUGUUAUUAAUUUAGCGUGAUGGGAAACCAGGACCUUUACCUUGAAAAAAUUAGAGUGUUCAAAGCAGGCUUACGUCUGAAUACAUUAGCAUGGAAUAAUAAAAUAGGACGGUGGUCCUGUUUUGUUGGUUUCUGAAUCACCGUAAUGAUUAAUAGGGAUAGUUGGGGGCAUUAGUAUUCAAUUGUCAGAGGUGAAAUUCUUGGAUUUAUUGAAGACUAACUUCUGCGAAAGCAUUUGCCAAGGAUGUUUUCAUUAAUCAAGAACGAAAGUUAGGGGAUCGAAGACGAUCAGAUACCGUCGUAGUCUUAACCAUAAACUAUGCCGACUAGGGAUCGGACGAUGUUAAAUUUUAUUGACUCGUUCGGCGCCUUACG